ACAGAGAUCUAGGGUGGAAGAGCCUGCCCUCCAUCUUCCAGAAGCUUCCAGUCUGUGUGGUGUUCCCUUGGACCCCUAGCUGGGCUUUGGUGGGCAACACAGACAGGGGGCAUUUGAGACCCUCUUAGGGACUUGCUUCCACUUGCGUGGGAAGUCUGGCUCUGGUGGCAGGAGAGAGAAUUCGGGUUCGGCUGCCUCCCUGGAGCAUGGUGUGGAGAGGUUGCUCUGUGUUGGUCUGGUCGCCAUGGUAGCCAGCAGCCCCCACAUCUGGACAUCUGGGACUCCUCACCCAGGAAGAGAUAGAGCGGUGGACGUUUCCCAGAUGGCAAUCUGGAACACCUGGAGUUACUACUGGAAGCAGUCCUUUGUGUGGGAGAGAUAACACUCAUAUUGGUCCAGCUGUGUUAGAAGGCUUGGAGCUUCUUGGCCAGAGAUGAGGAUGACAGUAAAGCAGCAGGUCUGCAUGUCCACCCAUGCACACUCCCUGUGUCCAGGCCCCGACAGUGAUGGCGCCUGAGGCUGCAGACCUCCUGUGCGCGAAGCAGACCAAGUCGUGGGCCUCCGUGGACUCUGCCUUCUGUGUGAAGAGACCCUUAAGCCAUGCAGGU